CUAAAGCUGUCCUUUAUUUACAUUAAACUGGAUGAAUCUCAACUGUCACAGUUUACCUCAAAGUCAAAACUCAUUUUAAAAAAAAAUGUGAUUCAUUAUGUUGU